GGUGAGAUGGCCGAGCGGUCUAAGGCGCCAGACUAAGGACUAGGGUAUUAUUUGCCCAUCACUGACUAUUCAAACGAACGGUUAUCUGGUCCUCCGGGGCGUGGGUUCGAAUCCCACUCUCAUCA